rnacentral:snoRNA from 1 species
GCCCAGGGAUGAGACCAAGGCGAAUAUGAGCUUACUGAAUGAGAGUUGGGUUCUUCUUUGUCUUGAUGGGCAGGUAAUCUUGGCAGUGCAGAGGAGUAUUCCUGCUCUGCUGUAAGGGCCUGCCUACAGUAACUUGGCUUGACCCACAUUAUUCCUUUAAAGUUACAGUGGAGUAACCAGGGGGAUAAAGCUGACAGCGCGCGUGUGUGUGCGCACGUGUACGUGUGUAGAGGCAAGAUUUACCCAGCUCUCGUCACUGUUCAGUCAGCUGUGAGUUGUUUCUUUGGUAAUCUGAGGGCC